rnacentral:rRNA from 1 species
AUUGAACGCUGGCGGCAUGCCUUACACAUGCAAGUCGAACGGCAGCAUGGGUGCUUGCACCUGAUGGCGAGUGGCGAACGGGUGAGUAAUGCAUCGGAACGUACCCGGAAGUGGGGGAUAACGUAGCGAAAGUUACGCUAAUACCGCAUAUUCUGUGAGCAGGAAAGCGGGGGAUCGCAAGACCUCGCGCUUCCGGAGCGGCCGAUGUCGGAUUAGCUAGUUGGCGGGGUAAAGGCCCACCAAGGCGACGAUCCGUAGCGGGUCUGAGAGGAUGGUCCGCCACACUGGGACUGAGACACGGCCCAGACUCCUACGGGAGGCAGCAGUGGGGAAUUUUGGACAAUGGGGGCAACCCUGAUCCAGCCAUGCCGCGUGAGUGAAGAAGGCUUUCGGGUUGUAAAGCUCUUUCGGCCGGGAAGAAAUCGCAUCUCCUAAUACGGGGUGUGGAUGACGGUACCGGAAUAAGAAGCACCGGCUAACUACGUGCCAGCCGCCGCAGUAA